GCACUGCUGAGGAGUCCCACAAUAGGACGAAAAGUACGUCCAGUGC
rfam:Schistosoma mansoni strain Puerto Rico chromosome 2, complete genome